AAAGAUCGAUACCGAGGGGGCAAUGACGCCCCGGAGAAUUCCUGCUUCGGCAGGCAGCCCGUACAGCGUACUGGCUGAAACUCCCUAUACCUCAACAAGCUGCCACUCCGGCGUGAAGGUAUCGUUCU
rnacentral:sRNA from 19 species